rnacentral:piRNA from 1 species
UGAUUACAUCAUGUUUCCUUGCACUUAGC